rnacentral:rRNA from 1 species
GAGUUUGAUUGUGGCUCAGAACGAACGCUGGCGGCAGGCCUAACACAUGCAAGUCGAACGCCCUAGCAAUAGGGAGUGGCAGACGGGUGAGUAACACGUGGGAACCUUCCCUAUAGUACGGAAUAGCCCAGGGAAACUUGGAGUAAUACCGUAUACGCCCGAAAGGGGAAAGAUUUAUCGCUAUAGGAUGGGCCCGCGUCGGAUUAGCUAGUUGGUGAGGUAAUGGCUCACCAAGGCAACGAUCCGUAGCUGGUUUGAGAGAAUGACCAGCCACACUGGGACUGAGACACGGCCCAGACUCCUACGGGAGGCAGCAGUGGGGAAUCUUGGACAAUGGGCGCAAGCCUGAUCCAGCCAUGCCGCGUGAGUGAUGAAGGCCUUAGGGUUGUAAAGCUCUUUUGGCGGGGACGAUAAUGACGGUACCCGCAGAAUAAGUCCCGGCUAACUUCGUGCCAGCCGCCGCGGUAAU